rnacentral:rRNA from 1 species
AUUGAACGCUGGCGGCAGGCUUAACACAUGCAAGUCGAACGGUAGCAGGAGAAAGGUUGCUUUCUUGCUGACGAGUGGCGGACGGGUGAGUAAUGCUUGGGAAUCUGGCUUAUGGAGGGGGAUAACGACGGGAAACUGUCGCUAAUACCGCGUAUUAUCGGAAGAUGAAAGUGCGGGACUGAGAGGCCGCAUGCCAUAGGAUGAGCCCAAGUGGGAUUAGGUAGUUGGUGGGGUAAAGGCCUACCAAGCCUGCGACCUCUAGCUGGUCUGAGAGGAUGACCAGCCACACUGGAACUGAGACACGGUCCAGACUCCUACGGGAGGCAGCAGUGGGGAAUAUUGCGCAAUGGGGGGAACCCUGACGCAGCCAUGCCGCGUGAAUGAAGAAGGCCUUAGGGUUGUAAAGUUCUUUCGGUAUUGAGGAAGGUUGAUGUGUUAAUAGCACAUCAAAUUGACGUUAAAUACAGAAGAAGCACCGGCUAACUCCGUGCCAGCAGCCGCGGUAAUACGGAGGGUGCGAGCGUUAAUCGGAAUAACUGGGCGUAAAGGGCACGCAGGCGGUUAUUUAAGUGAGGUGUGAAAGCCCCGGUCUUAACCUGGGAUUUUCAUUUCAGACUGGGUAACUAGAGUACUUUAGGGAGGGGUAGAAUUCCACGUGUAGCGGAGAAAUGCGCAGAGAUGUGCAGUAAUCCCGUAGUCGACGGCAACCCCACGGGAAUCUACUGACGCUCAUGUGUGAAAGCGUGGGGAGCAAACAGG